GCGGAGCGUAGCAUUUCGCGGUUCAAAAGACCGUGAAACUACCGGGCACGCGCUUCGUGGCAGGGUAAGCAUUUAGCUCAGAUGGUAGAGCGUUGAUCCUAUAGUCAAUGGCGCUGGUUCGAUUCCGGCAAUGUUUCUAAAAAUGCAAAGACGUGUCCAGGUCUUGUCGAAAAUGGCUUAAUGCCGCGGUCCGCAGGGAUAACGCGGCCAGGGGGAGAGCCGCAAGCUCGACCCUUGUUGAAUCAGAAACGCACGGUGGUGUUAGCACACCUUGAUUGCCCGCAAGGCAGACGGUAGUGGAAGAUUCGAGUAGGCAGGAUUGAUACGGGAUUCGCCACCCGUCAAAAAAGGCAGCCAUGCAACCUACUGUCUUGCGCCCAUUGGCGGAUGCAGUGGAUACGGGAUUAACGGCAGCCCGCAAGCAUGCCGGUAAGGUCCUCAAAGGGUUGUGUCAGUGGCUAUAGUCUCAGGCC
rnacentral:sRNA from 1 species